rnacentral:misc_RNA from 1 species
GGCGCGGCGGCGGUGGGUCGCGGCGGUGCAGACGGCGGGCAGCUAUGGCGGUGCGAGUGGCGCUGGUUUUGUGUGCGUGGCUGACGGCGGCCGCGGCUGGAGCCGAGUUACGGGCUACCAGGACGGCUCAGUGCCGCGCUCUAUGUUUGGACGAGUAUGGCGCCGACACGAGGACGACGCACGGCGAGUGCUUCCAGAGCGCCGGCUGCCUCACGUGCUGGGAGAAGUGCGGAUCUUUGAACCCAGAGGAUGGCGAGGACACCUGGACUCCCUGCCACCUGCUACCGGACUGUGAUGAUGCUGGCUGUCGGCUGGCCUGCCAGUUCCACUCCCUGCCGCGGGCGGCGCCACCGGCGCUGCCGGCGUGCCGCCCUGAUCUGGAGCUGAGCCGUGACGGCGCCGAGGCCCGCUGGUCGCUCUCCGAGUCCGAGUGCGACCGGCCGCGCUCCGGGGUGGUGUUUCUCCUGCUGGCCGGCGCCAGAGACGGCUGGCAGGAGCUCGUACAGACACCCGCUGAGAGCGUGCUUCUGGUGAACGUCGGUCUCGACACGCCGCUCCGUUUGCUGGCCGUCGGUCGCGACGGGCCGCUGGCUGUCGCCGAACUGCAGUCCGAUGACGCGACGGCGGCGGAUGGUCGACAGAGUCACGAAAGGAAGCCCCCGUCGGACGGCGUAUGGCUGCUGGAGACGGUCUCUGUGGAGCGCGACUCGUCCUCCAUGGUGCUGGUCCAGGUGGGCUGGCAGCGGCAGCGGUCCGCCGGCGCCGCCCCACCCCAGUACCUGGUCACCUGGGAGCUGAGCGGCGGGGGCAUCAAGGGUCACCUCUACACCGAUAUCAACUCGGUGACGCUCAGCCUGUGGCCCGAGUCGGUCUACAACAUACAGGUGGAGCUGCUGUCGGUGACCUCGGAGCGUUCUGUGCCUCUGGUGAUCAGCACGUACCGCUCGGCGGUGCCGACUGAGCAGAGGGCGCUGCCGCUGGUCCACCAGGCAGCCCUGGCGCUGCUCGCUGCUCUCCUGCUCGGCGCGGUGGCCGUGGCGGUGGUCCUGGCGGCGCGCCGGUGCCGCUGGGGUCAUCUGCAGGGGGAGGGGACCGUCCCGGUCCGUCCGGUGUUCAUACUGCGCUCAGCCGGUCGUCAGAAGAGGGUGCCGUCGCCCUUGCGGAGCGUGCUGGUUGAGUCGUGGAGCCCGCCGGCGCCGGUACAUCGCGAGGUGCCCGGCAGCUGAGGGUGCGGGGAGGUCGGUCGCAGCUCUCAGCUCUCACCUCUCAGCUGCCAGUGAAGAGUGGGGUGUGUUUGAGUGUGACGCUGUGUCACUCGACACGGUGCUAUGUCCGUAUUUUCGUGGCCAUGAUUGCUGGUAGAUGAUGUAGCGCGGGAUCGAAUCAUUUCGCUUGUGUGUUCCGUUUUACGUGUGUUGUGUUUCUAAUCUUGAUCGAAUGUGUGCCAAUGCCAUGUGUGCACUGAAUCUGCUGUGGCAGACCUCUGCACAAAGUAACAUAAGUCAAUUGUGACGAUCAUCUGUGAUAUGUAAAUAUAAACUGCUUGUGUUCAGUGUCUAAUGUCCGUGAUGCUUCUUCUCGACAUAGUUACUUAUCUUGUUCGUUGACUUACCAUUUCGUAUUAUUCCAACCCUAUGCAGGAUGUCAGUUUUUUUUUUUGUUUCGAAUAGAAUGACAUCCGACUUUCUUCGCCUGGAUAGGAAUUCAGCCUUCUUUCUGCUGGAUUUUGAUGCUUGACUUACCUCAAACGUAGUGUUUCAGUUUAUGUUUUGUGCAGGGCUGCGGAGUCGAUGGAUUUUCGGCGACUCCGACUCCGACUCCGA